AAACAGAAGUGGUAAAAAAAGAGAGAAAAAAACCCUCUUUGCUUACUCGUUUUUUUUUGUUCUGUUUGUUUUUUGUUUUU
rnacentral:ribozyme from 1 species